CGAUUCUUGUUCACAGAGACUGGGGCUGCCUCCCGAUGCGGUUGGCGGCGAUGUUCUCCUGCGUGCAUCACUGGCUCAUCGUCAAGGAAAGCAGUUGUCGGAUGGCGUGUCUGUCGGUCAGCCUCUCGACGACAGCUCGGCGCGGGUAGGAAACGAGUGAACAAAGUCUGCCGGCCUGCUGCCUGUAUAUCGACAAUGAACCUGGCUGCAACGGCUCCAGCCACAACCCUCGGCAUUGCACAAAAAUGCAGCGUAGAUAUCUUUCGCCAGAUCACGCAGAAAUUAAUGCCCGCAGCACUUUUUUCUGAAUGGAAACUUUCCUUUCGUGGCAGUCCAGCCAAACUCCGUCUUUGUGCCGGCGGGGGGAGGCUGAACUUCCUAUUGGUGCCGAGUCUGUGUUUGCAGAGAAACUUUUUCUUCCUACGAGGUAGACUUCAGUGCUGAGUUCUCAGAAUUCUCCGGUUUCCAAGCUCCUGAAAAUAUCAGGAUUAGCACAGCUCCGUGUUUGCGCACGUGCAGACGGCUUGGGGGAUGAGUAUCUAGAGGUGGACAACUAUUGUGAAACAUCCGUCUGCGGCUUCUUCCCUCGCCUGAAAGGGAAGUAAAGCUAGAUGACAGGGGAAGAAUACUAGUGCUUAUCUCCCCAAAAAGCUUUGGUCUGAGUCUCCGAUGCGCAGAAAAAUGGUAAUGUGGAUUCCAAUCAAUUCAAGGAUUAUAUGGCACUGACCUUGUUUCCAACACAAGAAAAUCUGUUGUUAGUGGCUUCGGAAAUUGUCGACAGACGAAAUAACAUGACUUUUCAUGCAGCUACAACAACAUAAAUGUGGAGCCAGAGAAAGACCAAAGCUUAGAGUAAAACAUUUCGGAUAAUCUUCUGCAGAAGGAAGAAUAAAUUUUGAUCAAACAAGUUAUAUUUGCGGACAGUUUUAUGCAAAAGUUACCUGAUACCAGAGAGUAAACUCGUAACCAUGUCGUCAGUGGGAGAUUGUCUGUGUGUUGUUCUGCUCUUCACAGUCAACAGGAGGCUGCUAUUGAUUGCGACUGUUUCUUUGGCGGCGUUGGGCUCCAUUCCUGUUGCACACUUCUGCUGAUGUUGCUUUCGAAGUGAAGGACAGCUGUGUUCUUGGAAACAAUACUUCCUGCCCUGAUCUUCAUUGCUGCGUCAAACAUGUCAUCACCUACAAGACCCCAGCAAGAGCGCCCUGGUGGGAACAAAGUGCGAAUCUCUUCUGGGAGAGGAUGCUCUUUGCCUCCGCUCUCCAGAGGACUACAUGUGUGACUGCAAGCCCGGACUCCACUGUGCCAUGGAGAGCUAUCAGACCUUUGGCUACUGUAAAAGACUUCCACGGAAAACGUAGCUGUUCCAGACUAAUGUCUUCGACUAAACGUGCUGGCAACCUUCAGAAAAG